GUGCUCACUUUGGCAGCACAUACACUAAAAUUGGAACGAUACGGAGAGGAUUAGCAUGGUCCCUGUGCAAGGGUGACCCACAAAUUCGUGAAGCAUUCCAUUUUUUU
ensembl:snRNA U6 U6 spliceosomal RNA